GGAGUCUGGGCCGUAUCUCAGUCCCAAUGUGGCCGUUCAACCUCUCAGUCCGGCUACUGAUCGUCGACUUGGUGGGCCGUUACCCCGCCAACUAUCUAAUCAGACGCGAGGCCAUCUCAGAGCGAUAAAUCUUUGGCGUCAGAGCCAUGCGGCCCGACGCAUCAUGCGGUAUUAGCAGCCGUUUCCAGCUGUUGUCCCCCUCUCCAAGGCAGGUUCCUCACGCGUUACUCACCCGUCCGCCACUUUCCUCACCUUCCGUUGUCCGAAAACUCCUUCCAGUGAUUCUCGUUCGACUUGCAUGUGUUAAGCACGCCGCCAGCGUUCGUCCUCGAGCCAGGAUCAAACUACU
rnacentral:rRNA from 1 species